rnacentral:lncRNA from 1 species
GGGUAAUUUCUUUUCAGUUGAGUAUGAGUCAGUUGGGGAUCUGUCCCAAUGGCUCUCUAGUUCUUGAGAAGUAGAGGCUUUGUCAGACUAGACUAUUAGUGGUAUUUUAGACUUUUCAGUAUGUUGCUAUUCAGAUAGUAUUCUUUUGUUAUUUCAAUUGAGAUAUGUUAUGACAAUGCCAUUAUUUUGCUUUAUCCAUCUUAAAAGUAAGUGUUAAAAGUAGU